AUUGAACGCUGGCGGCAUGCUUUACACACGCAAGUCGAACGGUAACAGGCCGCAAGGUGCUGACGAGUGGCGAACGGGUGAGUAAUGCAUCGGAACGUGCCCAGUCGUGGGGGAUAACGCAGCGAAAGCUGCGCUAAUACCGCAUACGAUCUAUGGAUGAAAGCGGGGGACCGUAAGGCCUCGUGCGAUUGGAGCGGCCGAUGUCAGAUUAGGUAGUUGGUGGGGUAAAGGCUCACCAAGCCAACGAUCUGUAGCUGGUCUGAGAGGACGACCAGUCACACUGGGACUGAGACACGGCCCAGACUCCUACGGGAGGCAGCAGUGGGGAAUUUUGGACAAUGGGCGCAAGCCUGAUCCAGCAAUGCCGCGUGCAGGAAGAAGGCCUUCGGGUUGUAAACUGCUUUUGUACGGAACGAAACGGUCUGGGUUAAUACCUCGGGCUAAUGACGGUACCGUAAGAAUAAGCACCGGCUAACUACGUGCCAGCCGCCGCGGUAAGAC
rnacentral:rRNA from 1 species